rnacentral:rRNA from 1 species
GACGAACGCUGGCGGCGUGCUUAACACAUGCAAGUCGAACGAUGAACCACUUCGGUGGGGAUUAGUGGCGAACGGGUGAGUAACACGUGGGCAAUCUGCCCUUCACUCUGGGACAAGCCCUGGAAACGGGGUCUAAUACCGGAUAACACUGCCACGGGCAUCUGUGGUGGUUAAAAGUUCCGGCGGUGAAGGAUGAGCCCGCGGCCUAUCAGCUUGUUGGUGAGGUAAUGGCUCACCAAGGCGACGACGGGUAGCCGGCCUGAGAGGGCGACCGGCCACACUGGGGACUGAGACACGGCCCAGACUCCUACGGGAGGCAGCAGUGGGGAAUUUUGGACAAUGGGGGCAACCCUGAUCCAGCCAUGCCGCGUGAGUGAAGAAGGCCUCGGUUGUAAG